CAGUGUGUAGCGCAGCCUGGUAGCGCACGUGACUUGGGCUCACGGGGUCGCAGGUUCGAGCUCUGCCACACUGACCA
rnacentral:tRNA from 1 species